AAGAGACUGUUUGAGCUUCUCCUGUUGUGGCUCCGGUAACACGAGCGCUUCUUGGCUCCUCCUCGUCGACGCCGGUUUGGCUUCAUGCCACGACUGCAAUCUGCCAUCACCACAUAGUCUAGUUAAACUUCUCAGCUCUGCUGCCAGAUGCCUAGCAGAUGCUAUAGAGAGAUGGAGCUGACCUUUCCUGCCUUGACCCCGCUGAGCUAAACUUGAGCCUUAUGCUGCAUUUAAUUGUAAUUCAUUUUGUUCAUUUUUUGUGUGCUUCAGUGUCAAAUAAUGUAGAGUAAGAAAGCGCUGUUUAAUAAAAAAGAAAAAAAAGAAAAA